rnacentral:rRNA from 1 species
AACGAACGCUGGCGGCAUGCCUAACACAUGCAAGUCGAACGAGACCUUCGGGUCUAGUGGCGCACGGGUGCGUAACGCGUGGGAAUCUGCCCUUGGGUUCGGAAUAACUCAGAGAAAUUUGAGCUAAUACCGGAUGAUGACGUAAGUCCAAAGAUUUAUCGCCCAAGGAUGAGCCCGCGUAGGAUUAGCUAGUUGGUGAGGUAAAGGCUCACCAAGGCGACGAUCCUUAGCGGUCUGAGAGGAUGAUCAGCCACACUGGGACUGAGACACGGCCCAGACUCCUACGGGAGGCAGCAGUU